CACUAGGCUGAGACUUGAAUUCAUUCCAGGUGCAUCCGGGGACCCCCGCAGGAGCUCUCAGCCAUGACCAAAGAGAGGGCACGGGGGUAGGCUGCCUGGUGAUGAGCGAUGCGGCAAUGGGAAUAGGAUUUAAAACAAUGAAAAUGAAAUUUACUUCAUCAUUUGGCUAACCAUAUCCUCACUAAUUAUGCUGAGAUGGGAGGACCUGAGUUUGCAUCCGCAACAUCUACAUAACAAAAGCUGUGUGCCAUGGCGUGUUAACGCAGUCCCAGCACUGAAGAGAGAGAUGGGGGAUCCCGGCUUCCCUGGUUAUCCACUGUAGCCAAAUCCGUGAGCUCCCAGCCGGCGAGAGACCCUGCCUCAUAA